rnacentral:rRNA from 1 species
AUUGAACGCUGGCGGCAUGCCUUACACAUGCAAGUCGAACGGCAGCACGGGAGCAAUCCUGGUGGCGAGUGGCGAACGGGUGAGUAAUAUAUCGGAACGUGCCCAGUAGUGGGGGAUAACUACUCGAAAGAGUAGCUAAUACCGCAUACGACCUGAGGGUGAAAGCGGGGGAUCGCAAGACCUCGCGCUAUUGGAGCGGCCGAUAUCAGAUUAGCUAGUUGGUGGGGUAAAGGCCUACCAAGGCAACGAUCUGUAGUUGGUCUGAGAGGACGACCAGCCACACUGGGACUGAGACACGGCCCAGACUCCUACGGGAGGCAGCAGUGGGGAAUUUUGGACAAUGGGCGCAAGCCUGAUCCAGCAAUGCCGCGUGCAGGAAGAAGGCCUCGGUU